rnacentral:rRNA from 1 species
AGUGAACGCUGGCGGUAGGCCUAACACAUGCAAGUCGAACGGCAGCACAGUAAGAGCUUGCUCUUACGGGUGGCGAGUGGCGGACGGGUGAGGAAUACAUCGGAAUCUACUUUUUCGUGGGGGAUAACGUAGGGAAACUUACGCUAAUACCGCAUACGACCUACGGGUGAAAGCAGGGGAUCUUCGGACCUUGCGCGAUUGAAUGAGCCGAUGUCGGAUUAGCUAGUUGGCGGGGUAAAGGCCCACCAAGGCGACGAUCCGUAGAUGGUCUGAGAGGAUGAUCAGCCACACUGGGACUGAGACACGGUCCAGACUCCGACGGGAGGCAGCAGUGGGGAAUAUUGGACAAUGGGCGGAAGCCUGAACCAGCCAUACCGCGUGGGUGAAGAGGGCCUUCGGGUGGUAAAGCCCUUUUGUUGUGAAAGAAAAGCAGCAGGUUAAUACCCCGCUGUUCUGACGGUACCCAAAGAAUAAGCACCGGCUAACUUCGU